CAGUUCCUAGGACCUAGUUCAUCAGACACUUCAUUUCCUGCUCUACUGUGCCAUUAUUUGGUGAAGUUUCCAAGCGCCCAGCACUUCCCAAGGCUCCCAGUGAUUGUCUGUAGUCCAGGGAGGUAUGGUGAGGUCUUCUGAGCUCCUUUUGAGGUUUGAUACACUGCAGUUGACCUUUAAGUUACAGGUUAGUGGUCUUCAAGGACAACUCUUUUUUCUCAUUUCUGUAGUGUCCAUUCAGAGUGCAGGUAAAUUUUUUGAAAUUUCAGAAAUAUGUCUUCUGAAUAAAUGUAGCCUACAGAACUUAACAUGAAGGAAUCAUUUUUGUCACAUCUUGACAUGGCACACAGCUAUAAUCUCAGCAUUUGGGAGACUGAGGCAGGAGGAUCACGGUGAGUUUAAGGCCAGCCUAGGACUUUAGGGACUGCCCCACUGAGACUUGGGCUGGCCUCCAGAAGCUGGCCAAUUGGGCAGACUUGGUCUUCAUCCUUGCUCAUCCUCUUACCACCUGAGAAGUUUUUGGCUUCUUACAAUCGGUGUGGUUGUUCACAAAUACUUUUGGUGACCAGUAGCACUCAAGGCAUAUUCUAAAUCAUAAUGCUUCCUAGAAGAUUUUAGCCUGUUUCAUGUAAAUAUCAUCUUAUUCAUACGGUAAAAUGACAAUUCGAUAUGUUAUACCACCUAACUUGAACUUUUUAAAGUGCUUUAAUAAAAGUAAUGAUAAAAAUAUUUAUCUCUCAGGACAUUAAAGUUGCAAGUUAGUAGGUCUUCCAGGACAAAUCUUUUAAAGUUUCUCUUUUCUAUAGCACAGUGCAAGUCAGUUUUUCUCUUUAAAGUUUCAGAAAGAUCAUUUUUUGAAAAAUUUAGUCUAGUGGGAGUCAUUUCGUGUCACGGAACAAGAGGCUUUGGAUAUUAGGGCUUUGGGACUGAAGAGCCUCAUGGGACACAGACAUGGCGGCUCACGAAGAGGACAUUGGAGAAUCACUGUAAGUCAGUUGGUCAGCAGAAAGGAAAGGAAAACGGUGAGCGGAUCUCCUGAGCAAGUGGGAACUUCUCACCAAAGCCUUAUGUGGCCAAGGGCGAACGUGCAGCCAGGUGGGAUGAGCUAGGGUGGCCCUGUGGGGUGUGGUGUCUUGUGCUGGACAGUGCUGUGCUGGGCUGCGGUGCACAGGCUGUGAUGACG